rnacentral:rRNA from 1 species
UGUACGGAAUCCUUUAGAGAUGAAGGAGUGCUCGAAAGAGAGCCGUAACACAGGUGCUGCAUGGCUGUCGUCAGCUCGUGUCGUGAGAUGUUGGGUUAAGUCCCGCAACGAGCGCAACCCUUGCCAUUAGUUGCUACGAAAGGGCACUCUAAUGGGACUGCCGGUGACAAACCGGAGGAAGGUGGGGAUGACGUCAAGUCCUCAUGGCCCCUAUAGGUGGGGCUACACACGUCAUACAAUGGCUGGUACAGAGGGUUGCCAACCCGCGAGGGGGAGCUAAUCUCAUAAAGCCAGUCGUAGUCCGGAUCGCAGUCUGCAACUCGACUGCGUGAAGUCGGAAUCGCUAGUAAUCGCGGAUCAGAAUGUCGCGGUGAAUACGUUCCCGGGUCUUGUACACACCGCCCGUCACACCAUGGGAGCGGGUUCUGCCAGAAGUAGUUAGCCUAACCGCAAGGAGGGCGAUUACCACGGCAGGGUUCGUGACUGGGGUGAAGUCGUAACAAGGUAGGCGUAGUGCU